UCACCGUGCACUGUAGUCUGCCUCUGACUAUGUGCCCUGGUCACCUCUCUGGUGGUGCUUGCGAUGGUCUUGGCGGGGUGGGUGCAGGAACUGCGGGUGAGUACCAGUACCUUCCCCCCACCCCAUUUUCAUUCUUAAAACUAGAUGAAUAUUAAAGAAUGAUAAGAUACAUUACGAUCCAGUUCAAUAGACUAUCCUGGGGCUGAGACCCAUUUGUCAGUUAAGCCUUGUCAUGCCAUAAAAAUGAACAUGGUUUAAUCUCAGGUGCGUUUGUGCGUCCCCUGCCCAAAUAAAGCUUUGACCCAUUUUAUGAAGGCACUAACAAAAUAUUUGUUGAUAAACAUUGCCUAAUGUAAUUUUGUAAUGGGAUCGUGUUUCCUUCUGAGGAUAAUCAAAAUAAGCUGAAGGAUUCUCACUGUGGCACACGAGGACUGAUGUUGUAAAACUGCUCACAUAUGCAUAACGAAAAUAUUUGUAUUAAUCAACGACGGCAAACUUUGGCUUACAGUUUUAUUCAUGGUGGUGUGAUCUUGGUUCCUACUGUAAUUUUCUAUACACAAAUAUAAGUUGUGAGUAAAUAAGAAUAAUUUGUACUUGUACAGUGACUUUUUUCCUGCCCUGUAUUUAUAAAGUACACAGGCAGUGUUAAUCAUUUUUUCAUCUAAUACUCGGCAUUUGAGCUGACAUUUCUGCAGCCAUUGCAGUGGUACCUCGGGUUAAGUACUUAAUUCGUUCCGGAGGUCCGUUCUUAACCUGAAACUGUUCUUAACCUGAAGCACCACUUUAGCUAAUGGGGCCUCCUUCUGCCGCCGGAGCAUGAUUUCUGUUCUCAUCCUGAAGCAAAGUUCUUAACCUGAAGCACUAUUUCUGGGUUAGCGGAGUGUGUAACCUGAAGCGUAUGUAACCUGAGGUACCACUGUACUGGCAUAAACAUCAUGUUUUGUGACAAUGUGCUGGAACAGUGGUUGGUUGGCUGGUUCAUCCUGCCCUACAUAUGAACCCCAGACUGGCAUUUCCUAUUCUAAACUCUUAUUUGCUGCGACAAAUUGGGCUAGAUGUGCCAAACACUGGGGACUUCCCUGCCCUUACCUUUCCUCUGCACUUUCCUGGCACCGUCCAUGAUUUGAGGCUCUGUGUCCUAUCACCCUUUUUUUUGCUUCAGAGUUUUCUCCAUGAAAACCCGGAGGUGAAGGACAUUUAGGAGGUAGCGCCUAUCCACUCAGCUACAGUCCAUUUUUGCCUUAUUUCUGUAUGGAUUCCUACCACUUGGCAAGCAUAUUGCUAAAAAGCAUUUAUUGAUUAAGGAAGAUUCAUUGGCUGACUUUUUGCACAGAAGCUUGCUCGUCCUUCCUUCCUUCCUUCCUUCCUUCCUUCCUUCCUUCCUUCCUUCUUGAUUUUGAGACUCUUAAAGAUAUGAGGGCCUAGGCAGAUGUGAGGGCCUAGGCUUGCCAAUUCGUUAACCCAUCCCUGAAACAAUAUGUUCCUUCCUCCCAAUCCUUUCUAGGGAGGGCAGUUUAUGACACAUAGGCAAACCCUGAUUAGCUAAAGGUCCUGCAGACCUUAACUCAGCAAAUAACAUGACAACUAUUCUAAGCCUUUUAAUGUGAUUUUAAUGCUGACAUUUUAUCUGUGGACUUCUGGAUUGUUUGUAGAAGUGACCCUGCAGCAUUGAGCUUGCAGCAUCCAUCCCUAAUGAUGAGUGACUUCUUCCAUACCCACUGUUCACAUGAGGAAGUCUACCUGCAUAAAGCUCUAUGAGGGCAGGCUUCCUCAAGACCCAAAACACAUGGGUAGUGGAGAUGGGUCCAGGAGAAACUGCAUGUCAUUGGGGAUGGGAAUAUAUAUAGAUGGAGGCCUGCAGACCCUCCCUACAUUCUCCAUCCAUUUAUGCAAGUGUUUGAGAUACCAUGAGCUGGUAUUACACUUGACUGCAUGCUUGAUGUGUGAUGGUUUGCUUAAGGCAGUUGCAGUAAUCAAGUGAAGCUCAUUUAUCCAUUACUCUAUACCCAUCAUCAAUGUAAGAUAGCAGAGAAGUGUCAGUAUGGUUGUGAGUUCUGCCCUGUCUGGUGCUCCUCCUACUAGAUCAUAUGCUCCUUUUCCAGCCAGUUUCAUAUAUGUGUUGUUGUUUUUUAAAGAAAAGUAUGUCUGUGUGUGGGGGAAUAAAGGGAAUUCAGAGAGAAAGGGCAGGCAAUGAAAGGGUUAAGUACACUCUCCCACUUGCCACUUGUAUAAUGGCUGUUUGGUGGAGUUCCAGGUACCUUGGUUUGAUCUGUUGUUAAAUGUAUUUUGGCCUCUGUCUCCACCAUCAUUCUCCCAUUUUCCUUUCUUUUUUAAGGGUGAGCUUAAAAUGACAAUGACAACCAUCACCAUCACAUUUUGUCCUUUGUCCAUAAAAUAUAACAAAUGUGAAAGUUUUCCAGAACGCUCUGUCAGCAGGGGACUGUUAUAUUUACCUGGCUGAAAAAGAAAUACUUGUGGAUUAAUUAUAGUCACACCUGUGUUUAUAUUUUCUGUAACUGAAGCUGCAGUUACUUGAACAUUUGCUGCCUGACUGUGUUUUCCACUGUGUUGAAAAUUUGCUAAUAAAACUCUUUUGGCCCUAGGGCUGAAAGGUGUACUCUGAAUCUUGAUGUGUUAGUAUAGUAUCACAAAAGUCUCCUUUGUAUAGCACUUCUGUAGAAAGAUGUGUCAUGCUGUCUUUGUAUUCACCUGGCUACAAGCUUGCAAAUUGACAAAGAAUAUGCUUUAUUUGACUCCAACCAUUAUAACUCCAUGAAACUUCCAAAACAUUAUCUUUACCUAGCAAGAGUCAAUAGCGAUCUCCACUCGUGGGAAAAAGUGCAAGCAAUUUGGCUACAGUAGGGUAUCUUGGAUAGUUCUUUGUCCUGAUAUUUGUGUUAUUUCCAAAACUUAGGCCAUCCCAAUUUUCCUUCAUUAAAGCCCUUGUCCACUGCGGUGUGAGAGUUAAGUGCAGAUGCCACCAUCUAGCUUAAAGCAGCAGACAUGAAUCUUAGCAAAUAAUAAAUGGCUCUGUUACGGACUUGACUUUCUCAAGCUGAUUGUUUUAGAUCUGUGCUUUCCCCAAGAGAAUUAAUUGAAUCCUUUGGCAAAAAACAACAAAGAGCCCUGUUUAUUAUGGCAUGCGCUUUUGUGGGCGAGAGUCUAUUUCAUCAGAUAUGUCAUACUCAAGACCAUGAAAGUGGAUGCCAUAAUAUAUUUGAUUAGGCUGGAUCCAGAUUUCAAUUCAUGGAAGGAACUGAGAACCAGCAGAGGCUCUGGGAAACGUGUGUAUGUAGGUAAUUUUUGCCAGUUUUUCCUGCCGUCUCCAGUGCCAUCUCUGACACUGUUCCAAAUAGUCCCCAUGACCCAUUGGAGCAGCUUGAGGGUGUACAGAGCACUACAGGGGAAAGGGGAAACCAGUAAAACUCACCUCUUCCCUUCAUCUAGUGGAGCAUCCUAUGGGUGAACUUUCACCCAUGAGUAGUCUCCUUCCAAUCCACUGUCAUUAAGGCGCCAUAAGAGUCUUUGCUGGUUUUUCUGCAUAGGAACAGAGGAAGCUGCCUUGUAGUGAGUCAGGCCAAUGGCCUACCUAGAUCAGUGUUGUCUACACAGACUGGGAGUGACUCUCUAGGGUCCUUUCUCUGCCCAACCUGGAUAUGCUGAGAACUGAACCCAGGACCUUCUGAAUCCAAUCCAGAUGCCCUACCAGCCCUUCCAGCAUAAACAAGCUAAGAGCCCAUCAUUCAGAGAAGAAUGCUUAUGAUUAAAAGUUUUGGCAGAAAGUGCUGGGAGUCCAUCUGUCGGAGGACAAAAGCUACAUUUUAGUUGCAAGAU